UGUGUUGUUGGGUAGGGGAGCGUUCUGUAAGCCUGUGAAGGUGGCCUGUGAGGGUUGCUGGAGGUAUCAGAAGUGCGAAUGCUGACAUAAGUAACGAUAAAGCGGGUGAAAAGCCCGCUCGCCGGAAGACCAAGGGUUCCUGUCCAACGUUAAUCGGGGCAGGGUGAGUCGACCCCUAAGGCGAGGCCGAAAGGCGUAGUCGAUGGGAAACGGGUUAAUAUUCCCGUACUUGGUGUUACUGCGAAGGGGGGACGGAGAAGGCUAUGUUGGCCGGGCGACGGUUGUCCCGGUUUAAGCGUGUAGGUGUGUGUUCCAGGUAAAUCCGGUUCACUUUAACACUGAGGCGUGACGACGAGGCACUACGGUGCUGAAGCAACAAAUGCCCUGCUUCCAGGAAAAGCCUCUAAGCAUCAGGUAACAUCAAAUCGUACCCCAAACCGACACAGGUGGUCAGGUAGAGAAUACCAAGGCGCUUGAGAGAACUCGGGUGAAGGAACUAGGCAAAAUGGUGCCGUAACUUCGGGAGAAGGCACGCUGACACGUAGGUGAAGUGAUUUACUCAUGGAGCUGAAGUCAGUCGAAGAUACCAGCUGGCUGCAACUGUUUAUUAAAAACACAGCACUGUGCAAACACGAAAGUGGACGUAUACGGUGUGACGCCUGCCCGGUGCCGGAAGGUUAAUUGAUGGGGUCAGCGCAAGCGAAGCUCCUGAUCGAAGCCCCGGUAAACGGCGGCCGUAACUAUAACGGUCCUAAGGUAGCGAAAUUCCUUGUCGGGUAAGUUCCGACCUGCACGAAUGGCGUAAUGAUGGCCAGGCUGUCUCCACCCGAGACUCAGUGAAAUUGAACUCGCUGUGAAGAUGCAGUGUACCCGCGGCAAGACGGAAAGACCCCGUGAACCUUUACUAUAGCUUGACACUGAACAUUGAGCCUUGAUGUGUAG
rnacentral:rRNA from 1 species